rnacentral:rRNA from 1 species
CACAUGACUCUCGGCAACGGAUAUCUCGGCUCUUGCAUCGAUGAAGAACGUAGCAAAAUGCGAUACCUGGUGUGAAUUGCAGAAUCCCGUGAACCAUCGAGUUUUUGAACGCAAGUUGCGCCCGAGGCCUUUCGGCCGAGGGCACGUCUGCCUGGGCGUCACGC